UACAGAGGGUGCAAGCGUUAAUCGGAAUUACUGGGCGUAAAGCGUGCGCAGGCGGUUUUGUAAGUCAGAUGUGAAAUCCCCGGGCUUAACCUGGGAACUGCGUUUGAAACUACAAGGCUAGAGUGUGGCAGAGGGGGGUGGAAUUCCACGUGUAGCAGUGAAAUGCGUAGAGAUGUGGAGGAACAUCGAUGGCGAAGGCAGCCCCCUGGGUUAACACUGACGCUCAGGCACGAAAGCGUGGGGAGCAAACAGG
rnacentral:rRNA from 1 species